rnacentral:rRNA from 1 species
UACAGAGGGCUCAAGCGUUGUUCGGAUUCAUUGGGCGUGAAGGGUGCGUAGGCGGCGCGGUAAGUCGGGCGUGAAAUCUCGGAGCUUAACUCCGAAACUGCAUUCGAUACUGCCGUGCUUGAGGACUGGAGAGGAGACUGGAAUUUACGGUGUAGCGGUGAAAUGCGUAGAUAUCGUAAGGAAGACCAGUGGCGAAGGCGGGUCUCUGGACAGUACCUGACGCUGAGGCACGAAGGUCAGGGGAGCAAACGGG